rnacentral:rRNA from 1 species
UACGGGAGGCAGUAGUGGGGAAUAUUGCACAAUGGGCGCAAGCCUGAUGCAGCCAUGCCGCGUGUAUGAAGAAGGCCUUCGGGUUGUAAAGUACUUUCAGUCGUGAGGAAGGUGUUAAGGUUAAUAACCUUAGCAAUUGACGUUAGCGACAGAAGAAGCACCGGCUAACUCCGUGCCAGCAGCCGCGGUAAUACGGAGGGUGCGAGCGUUAAUCGGAAUUACUGGGCGUAAAGGGCACGCAGGCGGUUAAUUAAGUUGGAUGUGAAAUCCCCGGGCUUAACCUGGGAAUGGCAUUCAAGACUGGUUAGCUAGAGUCUUGUAGAGGGGGUAGAAUUCCAUGUGUAGCGGUGAAAUGCGUAGAGAUGUGGAGGAAUACCGGUGGCGAAGGCGGCCCCUGGACAAAGACUGACGCUCAUGUGCGAAAGCGUGGGGAGCGAAACAGGGAUUAGAUACC